GCGGAAACGACUUAUCUGAACCUUCGGGGAAGGAUAACGGCGUCGAGCGGCGGACGGGUGAGUAAUGCCUAGGAAAUUGCCCUGAUGUGGGGGAUAACCAUUGGAAACGAUGGCUAAUACCGCAUGAUGCCUACGGGCCAAAGAGGGGGACCUUCGGGCCUCUCGCGUCAGGAUAUGCCUAGGUGGGAUUAGCUAGUUGGUGAGGUAAGGGCUCACCAAGGCGACGAUCCCUAGCUGGUCUGAGAGGAUGAUCAGCCACACUGGAACUGAGACACGGUCCAGACUCCUACGGGAGGCAGCAGUGGGGAAUAUUGCACAAUGGGCGCAAGCCUGAUGCAGCCAUGCCGCGUGUGUGAAGAAGGCCUUCGGGUUGUCAAGCACUUUCAGUCGUGAGGAA
rnacentral:rRNA from 1 species